rnacentral:lncRNA from 1 species
GUAAUUACAGUGUAUUAAUUGUAGCGUGAAAAGUUAAUAGCGCCAAUUACUAUUACUACUAUAUAUAUAUUUGGAAAUUGGAAAGUGGAUAUGAAUAGUAUGUUUUAAUAGUGUUUUAGAUUAUUUGUUUUAGUUUUAUAAUAAUAUUUUAUUUUAUCACAUAAAUUGAUUUUUAUAUAUAUUAUCUGAAAGUUGCCAUAGUAAUUCAAUACUUUGAGUAUAUGUUUAAAUUUUUAUAAUAAUAUAUUAUUCAUCAUAUAAUUGCUUUUUAAUAACUUAUGUACAUCAACUUUUUUAAAAAUCUACCUUCUUAACUAUGAUUUUUUUUUUGUAACAUUGCGAUCUAAAUUUUAUUAAAAACAGAUACUUUGCCAUUGUCGUACCAAACCGAACCAAGACCAACCGAACAACAUUUGUAUCGGUACCGAUAUUUAUUUUUAUUUUUAUUGUUUUUGUUUUCUAUAACAUGACACAGUAGCUAUCGUAUCGUACCAAACAACAUUGGUAAUUGUACAUGUAUUCAUUUUUAUGCGACGAUAAAUGAAUAUCAUCGCUACCAAUACCGUGUCAAUAUGAAUUGAUCGAUAUUUUACAAACAAUAUCGGUGUUUGUGGCAAUGAU